rnacentral:lncRNA from 1 species
AGAGGGAGUUAAAAGGGGUUAGUGUUUUUAAAGGGGUUUUUAAGAGGAUGAAAGGAUUGGGGUUUGUUGUUUGAGGAGGAGAUAGGGUGGGAGAGGACCGGGAUCUUUUGAGUGAGGGUCUAGGAUGAGGGUCAGGGGUGGAGAAAGGACAAAAAGGCUUGGGGUUUGAGGUUAAUAUGAUGGCCGAUGAGGUCUCCAUAGGAAUUGGAUCAGUAUUUGUACCAGAGAGGGGAACGACAGGGCGGAGAGGUGAUUUUUGGCCAUCCACUAGCGAGAUGGGCACUGCCUUUGAGGGAGUGGACUGGGGCAAAGAGGCAACUUUAGAAUUACUUGCCUCAUGAUCCAUAGGCUGACUUGAGCUUGCAACUGGCUGGUACUUUUUGUUGAUUUUUUCAGAAUUUUUGUUGCCCUUUUUUGCAGUAGCAGGCGGUUCAGCCCUUGAGGGAGAGUAAUGAAAACAGUUUCGAACUAUAUGCCCCAACUCAUGGCAGUGAGAGCACGUCGGGGGGACCCAAGGGUAAUGGACAGAUAAUUCAACGACUUCACCGCUCUCCCGUUCAAAUUCAACAAUGGAGGGCAAGGGCUUUGUUAAAUCAACCUCCACUUUCACAUGAGACAACGUGAGGCUAACCAAAUUCCUUGUAAACUCGUCUGUCUCCUUCGGUUCACCUACUAGACCCGCUACUAAGCUCAAAC